GGGGAUUUAGCUCAAUGGUAGAGCGCUUGCCUAGCAAGCGCAAGGCCCUGGGUUCGGUCCCCAGCUCCA
rfam:Rattus norvegicus chromosome 15, whole genome shotgun sequence.